rnacentral:rRNA from 1 species
GGAAUUGACGGGGAGCACCACGAACGGGUGGAGCUUGCGGUUUAAUUGGAUUCAACGCCGGAAAUCUUACCGGGACCGACAGCAAUAUGAAGGCCAGGCUGAAGACUUUGCCGGAUUAGCUGAGAGGUGGUGCAUGGCCGUCGUCAGUUCGUACUGUGAAGCAUCCUGUUAAGUCAGGCAACGAGCGAGACCCACGCCCACAGUUGCCAGCGUACUCUCUGGAGUGACGGGUACACUGUGGGACCGCCGCUGCUAAAGCGGAGGAAGGAAUGGGCAACGGUAGGUCAGUAUGCCCCGAAUAUCCCGGGCUACACGCGAGCUACAAUGGUUGGUACAAUGGGUAUCUACCCCGAAAGGGGACGGGAAUCUCCUAAAACCAAUCUUAGUUCGGAUUGAGGGCUGCAACUCGCCCUCAUGAAGCUGGAAUCCGUAGUAAUCGCGUUUCAACAGAACGCGGUGAAUACGUCCCUGCUCCUU